rnacentral:rRNA from 1 species
UACGUAGGGUGCAAGCGUUUAAUCGGAAUUACUGGGCGUAAAGCGUGCGCAGGCGGUUUCGCAAGUCAGAUGUGAAAAUCCCCCGGGCUCAACCUGGGAACUGCAUUUUGAAACUACGAGGCUAGAGUGUGUCAGAGGGGGGGGUAGAAUUCCACGUGUAGCAGUGAAAAUGCGUAGAGAUGUGGAGGAAUACCGAUGGCGAAGGCAGCCCCCCUGGGACACUACUGACGCUUCAUGCACGAAAAGCGUGGGGGAGCAAAACAGGG